GUCAGAGAAUAUGUUGUGCGUGUGUGUGGCGUGGUCGCCCACCGGGUGUUUGGCGGGAUUUUACCCUGUUCGUUCCGCCAGCGCGCGGUCGCGAUUGUGUCGAACCGUAACCCACUAUAGACGUUCCCGCGCGUUUU
rfam:Burkholderia latens strain AT17928 chromosome 1, complete sequence.